rnacentral:misc_RNA from 1 species
UCUCCGUAGGUGAACCUGCGGAGGGAUCAUUACAAGUGACCCCCGGCUCCGGCCGGGGAUGUUCAUAACCCUUUGUUGUCCGACUCUGUUGCCUCCGGGGCGACCCUGCCUUUUCACGGGCGGGGGCCCCGGGUGGACACAUCAAAACUCUUGCGUAACUUUGCAGUCUGAGUAAAUUUAAUUAAUAAAUUAAAACUUAGUUCUCAGACAAGACUGAAUAGUUUGGGUUUGGGUUUUCUCUGGCGAGCACUCACCAGCCGGAGCCGGUGGCCGAGGGCGUCUCGCCAAAGCAACAAAGUAUAGUUAACAAAGGGUGGAAGUGUAGCCCUCGAGAGGGCCUGUACUUCGGUAAUGAUCCUUCCGCAGGUUCACCUACGGAAA